rnacentral:rRNA from 1 species
GACGAACGCUGGCGGCGUGCCUAAUACAUGCAAGUAGAACGCUGAAGCUUGGUGCUUGCACCGAGCGGAUGAGUUGCGAACGGGUGAGUAACGCGUAGGUAACCUGCCUGGUAGCGGGGGAUAACUAUUGGAAACGAUAGCUAAUACCGCAUAACAGUAGAUAUCGCAUGAUAGCUACUUGAAAGGUGCAAAUGCACCACUACCAGAUGGACCUGCGUUGUAUUAGCUAGUUGGUGAGGUAACGGCUCACCAAGGCAACGAUACAUAGCCGACCUGAGAGGGUGAUCGGCCACACUGGGACUGAGACACGGCCCAGACUCCUACGGGAGGCAGCAGUAGGGAAUCUUUGGCAAUGGACGGAAGUCUGACCGAGCAACGCCGCGUGAGUGAAGAAGGUUUUCGGAUCGUAAAGCUCUGUUGUAAGAGAAGAACGAGUGUGAGAGUGGAAAGUUCACACUGUGACGGUAUCUUACCAGAAAGGGACGGCUAACUACGUG